rnacentral:rRNA from 1 species
AUGUUUAGACAUACUCUGCUUCUAGGAGCAAUUGCUCUAUGUUUACUUUGCCAUGCACUUCAUAUUGAAGGUGAUCGAUUACGUUCUACUAUCCAAGAGUUGAAGGAGGAUGGUCAAACCAAAAGAAUUCUUACAAGUUUGAAGUCAAACUCCAUUGAAAUGACAGCUUUUGGAGAAGAUUCAAGUUCAUGGGGUCAACCAUAUUAUGCGGUGCACCAAACAACUUCUGGAGGUCCUGGCGACAGUUACUAUGGCUUACAUGUCACCACGGAUGUGUAUAGCCACAAUCUAAAACCCGGCCAACAGACUUCGACUGCAAUUUGGGUUAAUCAUGUUGGAGAUGGUGUUAAAUCAAGCUUAAAUACAAUUAGUAUUGGCUGGCAUAUCUAUCCAGAGCACUAUGGAGACUCACAUCCACACUUCUAUACUGACUGGACGAGAGAUGGAUAUGCUCAAACUGGAUGCUUAAACAUGGACUGCCCUGGCUUCAUAAGGGUGAAUGGUGCUGUUAUAGCCCCUGGCGAUGUUAUACAUCCAGUUUCUGGUGUCCCUGGUGGACGUGUACAGAAUAUCACACUCAGACUGCAUAAGGACAAAACAAGCGGAGAUUGGUGGGUAUACUACGGCUUGAACGGCAUCCCCACGGGGGUGGGAUACUUCCCAAGGUCGUUGUUCACCUAUUUGGCAGAAAAGGCAAACCAUGUGGCUUUCGGUGCCUUCGUGGAUGCUGAGAAGGCGCUUCCAACUCCUCCAAUGGGUAGUGGUGUCCUCCCAAAUGGUGGCAAGGGUCAUGCGGCAUCUUUCACCAACCUUCAACUCAUUGAUAAGGAUGGGAAUAGCAGCCCCAUAAAAGCAAACCUGCCCGAGUUAAUUACCAUGGCCAAAUGCCAUUCUAUUACACAUAUUGACCACAGCCAAUGCCUUUAUGGUGGGCCAGGAGGUUGCGUGUGA